rnacentral:lncRNA from 1 species
CCUCUGCCUCCAGGGAGCACUCCCUGAGGGCUUCCUGGUAGCGGCAGCAGUUGAGCAGAGCCUAGAAGGACCAGCACAGGGCAGCAGUAGAAUGAGGUCAUGCAGGACCACAAAGGAUGCUUCUCUCUCUCUCGGCCCAUGAUUGCUUUCAGUGGGCAAAGUGGCCAUCCUGAGGGCUGGGGGAGUGUGGGGCCUGGACAGGGACGGCUGUGCAGCAGAACCAACUCAGUGUCAUGGGGCAAUUUUGUUUUGAAUAAUUAACUAACAUAGCUGGGGAGCAAAGACAGAAAAAUGUGGAAAAGUACUUUCCAGUGGGGGAAAAUGAGAAUUUGCUGUUUUUCUAGUUGCGUUAGUGCUGACAGGAAUAAAGCUCACAAGUGUCACACGAUGACUGUGUUUCUCAGGGAUGCUCGUGUAUGUAAAGCAUGAAGAGUGGGCAGUGACGGCUCUGCCACCAGCAGGAGUAGGGGCCAGCAUCAACAGUGCCAUCCUGAGGAGUCUCCGGCAGCUACACAUCCCACGGAGCUCGUCCUGUGGCCGGCUGGCUUUCCCAGAAGGGCACAUGUCUUUUGGCCAUUACCCAGAAGGCCAAAGGCUGCCAUCCUGGCAUCUUGUGGGCAAGAGGCAGGGAUUCCACGUGUGGGCCAUGGGACCAGCAACUCCGAACAAACAGCGUUCCUUGGAUCGUCCACAAUACCAUCUCGUGUUCUGCGGCUGUUCGUCAACUUCCUCGAGACGUGUUUGCAUGGAGCGUGAGUUGGGAUUGCUCCCUGGGAGAACAAGUUGCCACACGUAUCAGAAUAUAAAAUCCAGGAACCAGCCCUGCAGAUGCACUCGCAUGCGUGCCGCGAGGCCGUGGAUAUUGAAAUGAAUAUAUUUCAUUUGAAAUAUUCAAAUAAAUAUCCAAAGGCUUUUGACCUCUACUUUGCCUUCUCUUUCACGGACGACACCAGCCAGGAGGUUUCGCCUCUUUCCUCUUGUCCCUGAUGGAAGAAUCCAGAGGAAUACUUCUGUUGCAGCCUCAAGACGACUCAUUACUUAAACCCUAGAAAUAAAAUAGAAUCUCAACACGUG